GAUGAACGCUAGCUACAGGCUUAACACAUGCAAGUCGAGGGGCAGCAUUGGAGUAGCAAUACUUCAGAUGGCGACCGGCGCACGGGUGAGUAACACGUAUCCAACCUGCCGCUUACUCGGGGAUAGCCUUUCGAAAGAAAGAUUAAUACCCGAUGGUAUAAAGAGUUCGCAUGUUCUCUUUAUUAAAGAAUUUCGGUAAGCGAUGGGGAUGCGUUCCAUUAGAUAGUUGGCGGGGUAACGGCCCACCAAGUCUACGAUGGAUAGGGGUUCUGAGAGGAAGGUCCCCCACAUUGGAACUGAGACACGGUCCAAACUCCUACGGGAGGCAGCAGUGAGGAAUAUUGGUCAAUGGACGAGAGUCUGAACCAGCCAAGUAGCGUGAAGGAUGACUGCCCUAUGGGUUGUAAACUUCUUUUAUAAGGGAAUAAAGUGAGGGACGUGUCCCUUUUUGUAUGUACCUUAUGAAUAAGGAUCGGCUAACUCCGUGCCAGCAGCCGCGGUAAUACGGAGGAUCCGAGCGUUAUCCGGAUUUAUUGGGUUUAAAGGGAGCGUAGGUUGACAUAUAAGUCAGCUGUGAAAGUUUACGGCUCAACCGUGAAAUUGCAGUUGAUACUGUAUGUCUUGAGUGUACAAGAGGUGGGCGGAAUUCGUGGUGUAGCGGUGAAAUGCUUAGAUAUCACGAAGAACUCCAAUUGCGAAGGCAGCUCACUGGGGGUACAACUGACACUGAGGCUCGAAAGUGUGGGUAUCAAACAGGAUUAGAUACCCUGGUAGUCCACACAGUAAACGAUGAAUACUCGCUGUUUGCGAUAUACAGUAAGCGGCCAAGCGAAAGCAUUAAGUAUUCCACCUGGG
rnacentral:rRNA from 1 species